GUCCCGGCUGUAAACGGUGCGCAUUUGCUGUAAACGGAAUCGACCCCGUUUGUGGCGAAGCUAACGCGAUAAAUGCGCCGCCUGGGAAGUACGGUCGCAAGAUUAAAACUCAAAGAAAUUGACGGGGGCCUGCACAAGCGGUGGAGUAUGUGGCUUAAUUCGAUGCAACGCGAAGAACCUUACCUGGCCUUGACAUGCAAGUGGUAGAACCAUGAAAGUGGGACGACCCCGCAAGGGGAGCUUGCACAGGUGCUGCAUGGCUGUCGU
rnacentral:rRNA from 1 species